UCAGGACGAACGCUGGCGGCGUGCUUAACACAUGCAAGUCGAACGAUGAACCACUUCGGUGGGGAUUAGUGGCGAACGGGUGAGUAACACGUGGGCAAUCUGCCCUUCACUCUGGGACAAGCCCUGGAAACGGGGUCUAAUACCGGAUAACACUUCUGCUCUCAUGGGCAGGGGUUAAAAGCUCCGGCGGUGAAGGAUGAGCCCGCGGCCUAUCAGCUUGUUGGUGAGGUAAUGGCUCACCAAGGCGACGACGGGUAGCCGGCCUGAGAGGGCGACCGGCCACACUGGGACUGAGACACGGCCCAGACUCCUACGGGAGGCAGCAGUGGGGAAUAUUGCACAAUGGGCGAAAGCCUGAUGCAGCGACGCCGCGUGAGGGAUGACGGCCUUCGGGUUGUAAACCUCUUUCAGCAGGGAAGAAGCGAAAGUGACGGUACCUGCAGAAGAAGCGCCGGCUAACUACGUGCCAGCAGCCGCGGUAAUACGUAGGGCGCAAGCGUUGUCCGGAAUUAUUGGGCGUAAAGAGCUCGUAGGCGGCUUGUCACGUCGGGUGUGAAAGCCCGGGGCUUAACCCCGGGUCUGCAUUCGAUACGGGCUAGCUAGAGUGUGG
rnacentral:rRNA from 1 species